AGAGUUUGAUCCUGGCUCAGAUUGAACGCUGGCGGCAUGCUUUACACAUGCAAGUCGAACGGCAGCGCGGGGCAACCUGGCGGCGAGUGGCGAACGGGUGAGUAAUAUAUCGGAACGUACCCAAGAGUGGGGGAUAACGUAGCGAAAGUUACGCUAAUACCGCAUACGAUCUAAGGAUGAAAGCAGGGGAUCUUCGGACCUUGUGCUCCUGGAGCGGCCGAUAUCUGAUUAGCUAGUUGGUGAGGUAAAGGCUCACCAAGGCGACGAUCAGUAGCUGGUCUGAGAGGACGACCAGCCACACUGGAACUGAGACACGGUCCAGACUCCUACGGGAGGCAGCAGUGGGGAAUUUUGGACAAUGGGCGAAAGCCUGAUCCAGCAAUGCCGCGUGAGUGAAGAAGGCCUUCGGGUUGUAAAGCUCUUUUGUCAGGGAAGAAACGGGAGUGGCUAAUAUCCAUUCCUAAUGACGGUACCUGAAGAAUAAGCACCGGCUAACUACGUGCCAGCAGCCGCGGUAAUACGUAGGGUGCAAGCGUUAAUCGGAAUUACUGGGCGUAAAGCGUGCGCAGGCGGUUGUGUAAGACAGGUGUGAAAUCCCCGGGCUUAACCUGGGAACUGCGCUUGUGACUGCACGGCUAGAGUACGGCAGAGGGGGGUGGAAUUCCACGUGUAGCAGUGAAAUGCGUAGAUAUGUGGAGGAACACCGAUGGCGAAGGCAGCCCCCUGGGCCGAUACUGACGCUCAUGCACGAAAGCGUGGGGAGCAAACAGGAUUAGAUACCCUGGUAGUCCACGCCCUAAACGAUGUCGACUAGUCGUUCGGAGAGGUAACUCACUGAGUGACGCAGCUAACGCGUGAAGUCGACCGCCUGGGGAGUACGGCCGCAAGGUUAAAACUCAAAGGAAUUGACGGGGACCCGCACAAGCGGUGGAUGAUGUGGAUUAAUUCGAUGCAACGCGAAAAACCUUACCUACCCUUGACAUGCCAGGAAUCCUUGAGAGAUCAGGGAGUGCCUUCGGGAGCCUGGACACAGGUGCUGCAUGGCUGUCGUCAGCUCGUGUCGUGAGAUGUUGGGUUAAGUCCCGCAACGAGCGCAACCCUUGUCGCUAAUUGCCAUCAUUAGGUUGGGCACUUUAGCGAGACUGCCGGUGACAGACCGGAGGAAGGUGGGGAUGACGUCAAGUCCUCAUGGCCCUUAUGGGUAGGGCUUCACACGUCAUACAAUGGUCGGUACAGAGGGCUGCCAAAGCGCGAGCUGGAGCCAAUCCCUUAAAGCCGAUCGUAGUCCGGAUCGUAGUCUGCAACUCGACUACGUGAAGUCGGAAUCGCUAGUAAUCGCAGAUCAGCAUGCUGCGGUGAAUACGUUCCCGGGCCUUGUACACACCGCCCGUCAAACCAUGGAAGUUGGGGGUACCUGAAGUCUGUUACCGCAAGGAGCGGCCUAGGGUAAAACCAAUGACUGGGGUUAAGUCGUAACAAGGUAGCCGUACCGGAAGGUGUGGCUGGAUCACCUCCUUAA
rnacentral:rRNA from 1 species